rnacentral:rRNA from 1 species
UUUAGUUCAAAACCCCGAAACUAAGUGAGCUACCCCGAGACAGCCUAUCAAUUAGGGCCAACCCAUCUCUGUGGCAAAAGAGUGGGAAGAGCUCCGGGUAGAGGUGACAAACCUACCGAACUUAGUUAUAGCUGGUUACCUAAGAAAUGAAUAAAAGUUCAGCCUCGCACUCCUUGCCUCACAAACAUCUAAAACCACACGAGCCAAAGAAAUAUGCGAGAGUUAGUCAAAGGGGGUACAGCCCCUUUGAAACAGGACACAACCUCAUGCAGGAGGUUAAAGAUUACACUAAACAAGAUACACCGCUUUAGUGGGCCUAAAAGCAGCCACCUAGACAGAUAGCGUUAAAGCUCCAGCGGACUAAAAAUCUAUUAUCCAAAUAAUUUAUCUAAAACCCCUAACAAUAUUAGGUCGCCCCAUGCCUACAUGGAAGAGAUACUGCUAAAAUGAGUAAUAAGAAGGAACCCCCUUCUCCUAGCCUACGUGUAUAUUAGAUCGGACCCCCCACUAAUAAUUAUCGAACCCAACCAAAGAGGGUAAUGUGAUCGCACUAAAAAACAAGAAAACAUCACACCACCAAAUCGUUAAUCCCACACCGGAAGGCCCACAAGGAAAGACUAAAAGAAAAGGAAGGAACUCGGCAAACCCAAGCCUCGCCUGUUUACCAAAAACAUCGCCUCCUGCAAAAAUCAAUGUAUAGGAGGUCCUACCUGCCCAGUGACAAGUUAAACGGCCGCGGUAUUUUGACCGUGCGAAGGUAGCGCAAUCACUUGUCUUUUAAAUGAAGACCUGUAUGAAUGGUGGAACGAGGGCUUAACUGUCUCCCCUUUCCAGUCAAUGAAAUUGAUCUGCCCGUGCAGAAGCGGACAUAUUAGUACAAGACGAGAAGACCCUUUGGAGCUUAAGAUAAAAGAUCAACUAUGUCAAGAAACUAAAAACAUAGCUUAAACUAAAUAGCAACUGAUCCUUAUCUUCAGUUGGGGCGACUGCGGAAGAAAACAAAGCUUCCACGAGGAUUGGGAUAAAUAACCUAAAGCCGAGAAAGACACUUCUAAGCCACAGAACAUCUGACCAUAUAAGAUCCGGCCACCCGCCGAUCAACGGACCAAGUUACCCUAGGGAUAACAGCGCAAUCCCCUUUCAGAGUUCAUAUCGACAAGGGGGUUUACGACCUCGAUGUUGGAUCAGGACAUCCUAAUGGUGCAGCCGCU